rnacentral:rRNA from 1 species
GAUGAACGCUGGCGGCGUGCCUAAUACAUGCAAGUCGAGCGAAUGGAUUAAGAGCUUGCUCUUAUGAAGUUAGCGGCGGACGGGUGAGUAACACGUGGGUAACCUGCCCAUAAGACUGGGAUAACUCCGGGAAACCGGGGCUAAUACCGGAUAACAUUUUGAACCGCAUGGUUCGAAAUUGAAAGGCGGCUUCGGCUGUCACUUAUGGAUGGACCCGCGUCGCAUUAGCUAGUUGGUGAGGUAACGGCUCACCAAGGCAACGAUGCGUAGCCGACCUGAGAGGGUGCUCGGCCAAACUGGGACUGAAACACGGCCCAGACUCCUACGGGAGGCAGCAGUAGGGAAUCUUCCGCAAUGGACGAAAGUCUGACGGAGCAACGCCGCGUGAGUGAUGAAGGCUUUCGGGUCGUAAAACUCUGUUGUUAGGGAAGAACAAGUGCUAGUUGAAUAAGCUGGCACCUUGACGGUACCUAACCAGAAAGCCACGGCUAACUACGUGCCAGCAGCCGCUGUAA